GGACUAGUUUUUCCUUGCACUUGGCUUACCCAAUAAACCAAUUGGACUUGAUUCAAUUAAGUCCAAACUAAAUCUAAUUAAAUUAUAUUCAAUUAGACUUAAUUUCAAUUCAUUGGAUUAAUCAAAUUAAGCCAAUUAGCAAUCAAAUUGCUAAUCGAUCCUCCUGCAACACUUGCACUAGGUUAAAUGUCAAUCGUAUUGAUCGUUUAACCCUAGAAUGAUUCUUAAUCAUUGAUCAACCAU
rnacentral:lncRNA from 1 species